rnacentral:rRNA from 1 species
GACGAACGCUGGCGGCGUGCUUAACACAUGCAAGUCGAACGGUGAAGCUCCAGCUUGCUGGAGUGGAUCAGUGGCGAACGGGUGAGUAACACGUGAGAAACCUGCCCCUGACUCUGGAAUAAGCGCUGGAAACGGCGUCUAAUACUGGAUACGAGAAGGGUCCGCAUGUGCACUUUCUGGAAAGUUUUUCGGUUGGGGAUGGGCUCGCGGCCUAUCAGCUUGUUGGUGAGGUAAUGGCUCACCAAGGCGACGACGGGUAGCCGGCCUGAGAGGGCGACCGGCCACACUGGGACUGAGACACGGCCCAGACUCCUACGGGAGGCAGCAGUGGGGAAUAUUGCACAAUGGGCGAAAGCCUGAUGCAGCGACGCCGCGUGAGGGAUGACGGCCUUCGGGUUGUAAACCUCUUUCAGCAGGGAAGAAGCGAAAGUGACGGUACCUGCAGAAGAAGCACCGGCUAACUACGUG